GAAGAGAUAAGUGCUGAAAGCAUCUAAGCACGAAACUUGCCCCGAGAUGAGUUCUCCCUGAGACUUUAGGUCUCCUGAAGGAACGUUGAAGACGACGACGUUGAUAGGCCGGGUGUGUAAGCGCAGCGAUGCGUUGAGCUAACCGGUACUAAUGAACCGUGAGGCUUAACCUUAC
rnacentral:rRNA from 1 species